ensembl:lncRNA
AUAGAAAAUAGCUGAUAAAUACUUCAGUGUGCUUUACUUAAGUACAGCUAUUUGUACAGCUUUGUACUCCCUCAAAACAGUUCAUUAGUUUUAUACGUUUUUGAGACUUUGCUGUUGAAGACUACAUAAACUACAGAUAAGACAUAAGAUGCAAAGGUAUAAGCAUGAAGGCAUUACCAGUAAUAUUUCCAUUAUUUAGGUAAGUAUUUAGCUUCCUCUUCUGUGUUUUAUUGUGGGUUUAAGGGGGUCAGAUCAGUCUCAAUAAUUGCAAAUGCACACAGUACAACUCUCAAUUGCAAAAAAUGAUGCGCACGGAACAAUUAACAAGUAUGUUAGAUUUACAAAUGCACACAGAAGGAUUUAUAAAGUGACUAGAUCCACAAAUACGUAUUUUCUCAGCUCAGCGGAUCAUCGACUCCUGCGCCGUGAAAAACCAUCCAAGCCAUCGGGAACUCGCAGAGGCCCACGAACCUCCUGCCGAGAGGGAGAACACCGCCAACAUCAACUUGGCCAACGUGGAGGAGCAGAGGGACCACUCGCUGCACCUGCGUGCCGAGCCCGAAAAGUGAGGUUCACCACGAUGGCUCUCCAGCGGAACGUCCACAAGAUCCAGUCCGCCAGGAGCCAGAUGGGGUACAUCUGCAUGGGUCGGAGGACCAGCAGAGGGCUCUGGUCCACUGCCAGUAGAAGCUGCAGGAGAACAUGAACUUUGAAGUACUGAAGCAUAAAGUUCUGUUGUGAUGAUCUUUUAUAUCCAGCCCCUCCUCUUCAUCAUUGCAGUUCAAGAUCAAGUUGACUGGGUAGUUUUGUUUCACAGCACAGAGCAGCUACCAUCAUACAUAGAAUGUUAAAGGCUGUAAGGACUAUUAAAAGAUGGGCGCAUGUUGAGAACCACUUUACUUUUACUAGUUUGACUUGAAAAGCAGUAAAACUCUGUAGUUCCCCGUAUUUCGUUCUCUUGCAUUCACUGCGCCACAUCGCUGUGUUGAUGCGGGUAAUUAAUUCAUGUCGUACAACAAAAGAAUGAGCUAAAUAGCAUUGAGGAACGCGGGAACGGUCAUGACGUAAAGACGGAUUUCUUUUCGGUUUCUUUUCAGAAAGUCAAACUUUUCUUUUUGUGUACCAUUAGGAUUUAUAAUUAUCCCCACAUGAGGAGACAGGUCUGCUAUGACAUGCUGCUGCCAUCGGACCGUGACCCAACAGAGGACCUGUGGAACAUAUGUCAAGUUGCACUGAAGCUCUAGUUUUUAUAAUCAUUUCCAGUCAUUUUUAAUCCAACGUUAUCUUCGCAUCUUGACACAAGAGUCGAUAAAGAAACACAAAAGAAAACCAAAGCAGCGGAUGACUUUUGGUCCUCCCGAACAAAAGAAUGUCUUUUCACUGCUGCUUUCAUGACCCGACAUGAAGUCGUGACCACAAAUGGGCAGGUGUUUAAACUAAGGGGCUAAUCAGGGAAGUGGGAACAGGUGUGCAGGUGGGUGCAGAACAUCAGGUGAUCGACGUUGGGGGCGGGACCGGAUCUAAACUGACAGCGGGGAAACAAAGCGUGCAAGAGAAGGAGAGGAGCCGUGCAACGACACGAGGAGACCGGAGCCUUCCGUCAAACGCGAAUGAAGUAACGCAAUCAUGUUUUCUAAAAGGAUUUGAGGUUUGAAUGGUGUUUUUAAAAUUGUUUUGAUCUUUUAUCUAACUUCUAACAGGUUGCAAUCUGUGCUACAUUUGGCUGGAAAUGUUAUGUUCGCACAAGAGAGAACAUUUUAAAUAGAUGUAGAUAUGC